rnacentral:rRNA from 1 species
GAUGAACGCUGGCGGCGUGCCUAAUACAUGCAAGUCGAGCGAACGGACGAGAAGCUUGCUUCUCUGAUGUUAGCGGCGGACGGGUGAGUAACACGUGGAUAACCUACCUAUAAGACUGGGAUAACUUCGGGAAACCGGAGCUAAUACCGGAUGAUAUUUUGAACCGCAUGGUUCAAAAGUGAAAGACGGUCUUGCUGUCACUUAUAGAUGGAUCCGCGCUGCAUUAGCUAGUUGGUAAGGUAAUGGCUUACCAAGGCAACGAUGCAUAGCCGACCUGAGAGGGUGAUCGGCCACACUGGAACUGAGACACGGUCCAGACUCCUACGGGAGGCAGCAGUAGGGGAUCUUCCGCAAUGGGCGAAAGCCUGACGGAGCAACGCCGCGUGAGUGAUGAAGGUCUUCGGAUCGUAAAACUCUGUUAUUAGGGAAGAACAUAUGUGUAAGUAACUGUGCACAUCUUGACGGUACCUAAUCAGAAAGCCACGGCUAACUACGUG